UUUUUUAGGAAAGCUUUGGCCUUCCAACAAGGGAAGGCCGGGGAAUUUUCCU
rfam:HIV-1 00TH.OTR810I from Thailand gag protein (gag) and pol protein (pol) genes, partial cds; vif protein (vif), vpr protein (vpr), tat protein (tat), rev protein (rev), vpu protein (vpu), and env protein (env) genes, complete cds; and nef p